rnacentral:rRNA from 1 species
UACGGAGGGUGCAAACGUUGCUCGGAAUUAUUGGGCGUAAAGCGCACGUAGGUGGUCUGUUAAGUCGGAUGUGAAAGCCCUUGGCUUAACCGAGGAAGUGCAUCCGAAACUGGCGAGCUAGAGUACGAAAGAGGAUCGCGGAAUUCCCGGUGUAGAGGUGAAAUUCGUAGAUAUCGGGAGGAACACCGGUGGCGAAGGCGGCGAUCUGGGUCGAUACUGA